rnacentral:rRNA from 1 species
GACGAACGCUGGCGGCGUGCUUAACACAUGCAAGUCGAACGGAAAGGCCCUGCUUUUGUGGGGUGCUCGAGUGGCGAACGGGUGAGUAACACGUGAGUAACCUGCCCUUGACUUUGGGAUAACUUCAGGAAACUGGGGCUAAUACCGGAUAGGAGCUCCUGCUGCAUGGUGGGGGUUGGAAAGUUUCGGCGGUUGGGGAUGGACUCGCGGCUUAUCAGCUUGUUGGUGGGGUAGCGGCUUACCAAGGCUUUGACGGGUAGCCGGCCUGAGAGGGUGACCGGCCACAUUGGGACUGAGAUACGGCCCAGACUCCUACGGGAGGCGGCAGUGGGGAAUAUUGCACAAUGGGCGGAAGCCUGAUGCAGCAACGCCGCGUGCGGGAUGACGGCCUUCGGGUUGUAAACCGCUUUCGCCUGUGACGAAGCGUGAGUGACGGUAAUGGGUAAAGAAGCACCGGCUAACUACGUG